CAGACCUUUGCAUAAUUAAUACAAUACAUUCCUACUGUUCCUUUCUUACGGAUAACGGGCCCGGCUAUAGGGUUGUCACUGAACCCCAACCGCCGUCUGUGUCCAACUCCCCAGCGUCAAGACUCGCCCUCCUGGUUUUGACGCUUGCGUGUCCUGAUGCCGAAUCUGCCUGCCUGACCACUCUGCCUGUUCUGACCUCGAGCUUGCCUAUCCCCUUGUACUGUUUGGACUCGGACCUGUUCACUGAACCCCUGCCUGUCCUGACCUCGAGCCUGCCUAUCCCCUGGUACUGUUUGGACUCUGACCUGGUUUAUGAACGCUCGCCUGUCCCCGACCUGCCUUUUGCCUACCCCUUUUGGUGUAAUAAAUAUCGGAGCUCAACCAUCUGCCUCCUGUGUCUGCAUUUGGGUCUCGCCUUGUGCCCUUAUAGUACGAACUGGCCAUGACAGACCCAGCAGACUGGGACCAGCUCCGUCACGCUGUCUCCCUGCAGGAAGCCACCAUUGGGAGGCAUGAGGAGCUACUCCUGGACCUUUUGGAAGGGCUUCGUUCCCUGACGGAACGCCACGACCAAGGGUUCAAGGCUAUAAUGGA
rnacentral:lncRNA from 1 species